ACCCUAAGACUAAGUGGGAGGCUGGUAGCGGCGUAGCGCCCUUUCUUCCCAAGCCAUAAGCCUCAGUGCUUCACUGCAAGCUCCAACUCUCCUUUCUCGCUCCUCCAUUGCCGAUUUGUCGUCACUCUUCUUCCUCCUUUGUGUCCUCCUCGCAACGCCGCUGAUUCGUGACCUUCUCUCCUCUCUACGCUGUUGCUCUGUGCUCUUCUUGAUUGGUGGAAGGUAAAUGGAGUUAGAUUUCCAACUCUUCAAAAAAUUGCAAGAGACAUAUUUGCCAUUCCUGUGUCUACUGUUGCUUCUGAGUCUUCUUUUAGCACAAGUGGCCGUAUAAUUGCUACUCAUCGUGGUAGUCUUCGUGAAGAUACGGUAGAAGCUCUUAUGUGCAAUUAAAAUUGGUUGUGGGCAGAAUAUUAUAAAAGAGGUGAAAAACCUGAUUAUCAAACUGCUAAUGAAGAUGAUGAUGCAUUUUUUGAGCUGACGGAAGAAUAAUGUUGCAAGAACUUGGAAUUAAAAGAAAUGUUUAAAGACAUUUAUCUUUGUUUAUGUUAUUUUAAUUUUAUUAAGAACUUGAUAAUUAUGCUAUUUGUAAUUUUAUGUUAGAUUUGUUUAGAAUUUUAUUGUUUUUAAAUUUAAUUUAAACUUAGUUUUUUAUUUUAUUAAUAUAACAAUAUGUAUGUUUGUAAUUUUAUGUUGAAUUUUUUAAAGAUUUUAUUGUCUUUUAUUUUAAUU